AUUGAACGCUGGCGGCAUGCCUUACACAUGCAAGUCGAACGGCAGCACGGGGGCAACCCUGGUGGCGAGUGGCGAACGGGUGAGUAAUGCAUCGGAACGUGCCCAGUAGUGGGGGAUAACCCGGCGAAAGCCGGGCUAAUACCGCAUACGACCCAAGGGUGAAAGCGGGGGACCGUAAGGCCUCGCGCUAUUGAAACGGCCGGUGUCUGAAUAGCUCGUUGGCGGGGUAAGAGCCCACCAAGGCGACGAUCAGUAGCUGGUCUGAGAGGACGACCAGCCACACUGGGACUGAGAAACGGCCCUGACUCCUACGGGAGGCAGCAGUGGGGAAUUUUGGACAAUGGGCGCAAGCCUGCUCCAGCCAUGCCGCGUGCGGGAAGAAGGCCUUCGGGUUGUAAACCGCUUUUGGCAGGAACGAAACGGCGCAAGCCAAUACCUUGCGCUAAUGACGGUACCUGCAGAAUAAGCACCGGCUAACUACGUGCCAGCCGCCGCCGUAAAAC
rnacentral:rRNA from 1 species